AGGAAAGAGAACAAAGAGGCUCAGCCAACUCUGUCCCGGGGAAACUGAAGUCUUGACCACAGCUUGCCAGUCUCAUCUUUGGAACUCAGUCUGCCCACCACUCCCACCAAGGCUCACACUAGAGGAAAUACUAAGGGAUGUUCUUCAAGCAACAUGUAUAUAAAUGAUCCAAGAUGGAAGCUUAAAGACAUGAGAAGAAAUGAAAGCAACAAAAAUGGUGGAAGUAGACUGCCCUUCUUCACAAUGAGGGAGAGGAAGGAAGCCACCUGCCCUGAAGGAUGCUGACCUAUGCGCCAAGUACCCAAGGCUGCAAGGAAGAGAGUGUGUAAUGAGGAACUCCUGCAGGCAGCUCACCCCGGGGACCAGCUGCAGGGCCUCUGACAACAGAUGCAGGAACACUGCGAAAGGAAACCCACAGUCGCCACGGGCCCCAAACACGGCAACCUGCUCUGUUUGUCUGUUUGAUUGUCACGCUUUAUUCAUUCUUCCCUUCCUCCAGGCUGCGACCCAUCCUUGCCCAGACCCAUGGGUGACCCUGGACUGAAGACAAGAAUCAAUACCAAGGCCUGGGACCUCUGGGGCUUUCAGGAAGCACUAUGGUGAAAGCACUUUCUCUCUACAGAAGAGAACAGUGUGCACCAAGAAAGGAAAACAGUACUGAACCCACAUAUGUGUUUUGCAGUCACAUGAGGGGAAGGUGCUAGAAAGGCCUUUGGGUGUUCAGUGCUGACAGUGACACCAGCUCUCCAGGGACAUCAGUUUGAACACACACUGCUCCUCGAGUGCCAUCAGCAGCCCAGCCACAUGUGCAACAUUGGCUGGCCGACCCCAGGAGAGUCCAGUGAGGCCUCACCACAGCAAGGAGGCCAGCCCAUGGCCACUGAGGGGCCAGGGCCACUCACCAGCCCAUUUGGGGCAUUCAGUGGGGUGACAGCCAACUGGAGGACACCUCUGCCCUCAGAGGCUAAUGCUCCAAUUUCCUGCUUUCACAACCUGGGGCACCCCAGGCCCCACAAGUUCAGCACAAGGAAGAGGGGGAGCCAGAGUACAUGCGUCUCCACUCCAAGAGCAAGACAGACCCAAACGUGGCAUCUCCAGGCAGGUCAGUUCUCUGGACACCAGAGAGGCUGUCUUAGGACAAAGUCUAAACUCCCUACCCUGCCCACAAGUCCCUGCAGACUUUGGCUCCUGCCACCUCUUGGCACUGCAUGCUUCAGCGUAUAGUCGGGGCCUCCAACAUGCUGUUCCCACUUUGCCUACGGGUCUUUGAUCAGGCGGUACCUCUGCCUAGGAGACAUUCUGCUCUUUUCAUCGGGCCAAGUCCCACUCAUCCUUCAGGUCUCAGACACUGCUUCCUCCAGGAAACCUUCCCUGACCCCAAGGCUGAGAGAGGAACUGCACUAUGAGCCCUUAACACCUCCUAAGCCCCCAACACUGUGCUCAGCACACUAAAUCCCAAGUGCCUGUUUCCUCCUCCCCAGCAGACAACAGGCUCCAUGGGGCAGAGUCUGCAGACUGCUGUACCUUGGCACUUGGUUUGCAUUUGCUUCUUGAGAUACUCAUUCAAGACUGAGCCCAAGGUGAGUCAGAGCCAUGCCUGGGCAGAAGCACUGCUCACAGCCAGCGCUGCCAACCCGGGCUCCUGCCUGGUCCUGACUUCCAGUCUCUCUCCCUGAUGCAUGUCAGAGCUCCCUGAGAUGCUGAGAUGAAGUGAACAGACCCAGCCUCAUGACCCCACCCCACCCGCCCCCUAGCCCCAGGCCCUCUCCAGCUAAGCUGAACACAAGUCCUUCUCUAACUGCUGGCCUGCAAGCCCCCUGCCCCUUUACUGCAACUUGCAACUCGCUAACCCACACUACAUGCAGGCCAACUGGGAAAGUGCCAGCCCCACUCCUGCCCCCAGCCCACUUUUCCUUCCCUAAGGCUUCCCACCCCUGUCCAGACCAUGGCCAGGGACACAAGCCUAUGGGUCUGCUCACCUCAUGCUCUUACAUGGCUGGACUUCAAGUCACCGAGGUCUGGCCAGGAUGCCAGGGGGCCAUAAUGAGGGCCCUCCCUAGAGUAGCCCAGCAUGGCCCAGCUGGCCCCACAGUCUGGGCUCACAUCCUGAAAAGCUCUCUCUCAGAUACUCUGCGGUCUCCAGCUAUAGCCAGACUGAGUAAGUGGCCUGGAACUGCCAUCUUGGGCUAGUUAGAGUUGCCCAAGCCUUAGACAAAUCUCUCUGGACACAAAACAGCUGUCUGCAAUGCUAUAUGUCCCCCCACCAACUGGGAGUUCACAAGCAGGCCAGAGGGCCCCCCAUUCUCCAUGCUACUGGACACAUGGGCCCUGUUCUCAAAGGAUUUGCAAACCAAUAAGGAAGGAGGCAAAAGAGGUGGACCUGCCUCCCACAAGUGUCAUCUCCCCAGGGAGCAGGCAGGAAGCCCGAGGAUCCUCUCACUCCCAGUCCAGAGAGGCCCUGGAUCAUCACUUCUCUGGACUGAACUUCCGCUCUGAAACGCAGCACCCAGGCCAACAGGCCAGGGACACAUGAGUCCCAAGGGUCUCAGCCAUCAGGCUGGUCAGGCUCAGAAGCUUGGCCAGGGUUCAAGCUGCCUGCAGGUUGCACUUAGACGUAAAAAUGCCAACAUUGAGAUGCUUUUAAAGGGAAAUGUAUGCGAGGAGAAUCCUUUCGGGGCUUAUGAGGCACUCUCAGGGCUCUAUCCAGCCACCUACCCUAUCCCCGCCCCCACUGCCCCACAAACACCUGGGAAGCCAGCAGAGCCAGGACUGUUUUGCAGGGGGAAAGCUACUAAAAGACAGGAAACGCGGAGUCAUGGGCAAGCCAGGAAAGGAGUAAGCCUCCAGGCCAGCUUCUGCCUACACUAGGAGGACUGGCUGUCUCCCUCCUAGCAAGGGCCACAAAGCAUCAUAGGCAGCCCUGGAAAACCCCCUCCAAAGGACUUGGGAAUCCCAGCUGGCAGGUUUAGGCUCUCUCCACAGGAGAUGCAGCAAAUGCCCCAGCUGCCAGGUCCUCAAGUGACUGAGCGUGUGGCAAAGGCCUCAUGGGGGACCGCUGUGGCCCCUGGCCUGUCUCCUCACAACCCUCUCUAUGCCCUAGGGGGCUGGCACCACCAGAGGCUGCUCCAGCUCCUUCAGCCCCUUCCAGGCAGCCUGGGGCAGGGCUCUCUGGAGGCUGAGCUUGAGAAUGCCCCCGUGUCAGACUCUGCACUGGGCCAAGGUACAGAGGAGGCCCCUCACAGGAGCCUCCCUAGACACAGCCUACUCCCCCACC